rnacentral:rRNA from 1 species
GACGAACGCUGGCGGCGUGCCUAAUACAUGCAAGUAGAACGCUGAAGGAGGAGCUUGCUUCUCUGGAUGAGUUGCGAACGGGUGAGUAACGCGUAGGUAACCUGCCUGGUAGCGGGGGAUAACUAUUGGAAACGAUAGCUAAUACCGCAUAAUAGUAGAUGUUGCAUGACAUUUGCUUAAAAGGUGCAAUUGCAUCACUACCAGAUGGACCUGCGUUGUAUUAGCUAGUUGGUGGGGUAACGGCUCACCAAGGCGACGAUACAUAGCCGACCUGAGAGGGUGAUCGGCCACACUGGGACUGAGACACGGCCCAGAGUCCUACGGGAGGCAGCAGUAGGGAAUCUUCGGCAAUGGACGGAAGUCUGACCGAGCAACGCCGCGUGAGUGAAGAAGGUUUUCGGAUCGUAAAGCUCUGUUGUAAGAGAAGAACGAGUGUGAGAGUGGAAAGUUCACACUGUGACGGUAUCUUACCAGAAAGGGACGGCUAACUACGUG